UUAUUUGUUGAUCAAGGCUUUUUACUGAGCAGCAGAGCUGAGGCUGCGGUCUGGGUCACCAGCCAGGAAUGAAAAGGGAGGGGGAUAAAGGGGAGAGUAGCCAAUGAGAACGCAGUUCAGGGAUCUGGGAGACAGAGAUCGGGAGAACCCAAGAUUCCUGUCUCUUCCCAACUGGUUGCAGAGAACAGAACGUAUGGUUCAGUCCCUGGAUGAUGAAAGCAUGCCAAGUCUGCAGUUCCUCCAUUCUUGCUUCUUCCAAAGUAGCAGAAUUGUGGUUGCAGGUGUCUGCUAUUGGUCCCAGCAGCCCCUACAGACACACCCUACCAUAGUGUCUAUUCAUAGGGCCAACAGAGAGACAAGAGCAUUGCUAAAGAGAGAGUCUAGAAGAAUGCAAGCGACAUACCGGCUCAUCAGUAGGGGCGCGGCUGGGUAAAAUCAAGGCCUUUCCUUAAGGACCACUAGAUGGCCAGAUGAGAGAAUGGGGACCCUCUCUACAGAUCAGUGCAGAGCUGCUCCAAGAAAGACGUGAAAUGCAAAAGCAGUGAGCGGCAUGGCAAGUGUUGGAUCCAACCAUUUGCAUGGAAGCGGGGGAAACACAUGGAUAUAAAUAUACAAAUACAUAACAUCAGUGUUUCUUUUGAGUAUGAAUAAACUAUCUCUGGAAGAACACACAGAUGGAUAGCACGGGUGGCCUCCGGGAAGGCGAACCAGGAUAGAGGGAGACUUAGAACUUCGUAUGCUUUGGUGUCUUUUGGAUUUUCAGCCCCAGCAGUGCAUUAAAACAACAAAACACUGGCCUGAAAUGUGAGUUUAAAAUAAAGAAUAUUCUCCAGGCUCAAGAUUAA